rnacentral:rRNA from 1 species
UCGAGAAUUUUUCUCAAUGGGGGAAACCCUGAAGGAGCGACGCCGCGUGGGGGAUGAAUGGCUUCGGCCCGUAAACCCCUGUCAUUCGGGAUCAAACGUUAUUCAUAAAUAAUGGAUAGCCUGAUUGUACCGGAAGAGGAAGGGACGGCUAACUCUGUGCCAGCAGCCGCGGUAAUACAGAGGUCCCAAGCGUUGUUCGGAUUUACUGGGCGUAAAGGGUGCGUAGGCGGUGGGGUAAGUUUGAGGUGAAAGCUCCGGGCUCAACCCGGAAAAUGCCUUGAAUACUAUCCCGCUAGAGGGUUGGAGGGGAGACUGGAAUUCUCGGUGUAGCAGUGAAAUGCGUAGAUCUCGAGAGGAACACCAGUGGCGAAGGCGGGUCUCUGGACAACACCUGACGCUGAGGCACGAAAGCCAGGGGAGCAAACGGG